GCCAGCCGUCGCGUGGUUCCUGUACAGUUGCUGACGAUUAUUGUCAAUUGGUUGGAACGGGUAAUUGCUGCAGUGGAGGCAUCUCACGUCCGGGGGAGAUUCUUUGGUGGGUGCUUGGCUUGGCUUGCUCAUGUAGGAAGGUUUCUUGAGUGGGUGCUUGGCUUGGGGUGCUCAGCUCAUGUGUGUAUAUGCAGGGAGAGUGAUGUCUGAUGGUGUUGCUGUUGCUAAUUUGAAUUAGGAAGUUGCUUUUGUAGUUUUGUAGUAGCAGUUGUAGAUCUAUCUAUCUAACCUUUGCUGGCCUUGGAUGGCAAAGCAUUCUACGAUUAUGGUGAAUGAAUGUAUGGUUUCCUGGUGCAUCAAGAUUGUAGAUUGGAUUGUUGCUUUUGUGUUGCUGUCUCCUCGGAUGCCAUCUUGAACAAUCUACCACUAUCAUUCAGGUACUGUUUUACAGGCUUUACAGGCAAGCAGGAGCCUCUGACAGUGAAGGUACCCAUUACCAAAUCUGAGUUGAUCCUUUCAGAUUGUAGGAAAGAAGAGC
rnacentral:lncRNA from 1 species